AGGGCGUUGAAGCAUGAUCGCAAGGACAUGUGGAGCGCUUAGAAGUGAGAAUGCCGGUGUGAGUAGCGAAAGACGGGUGAGAAUCCCGUCCACCGAUUGACUAAGGUUUCCAGAGGAAGGCUCGUCCGCUCUGGGUUAGUCGGGUCCUAAGCUGAGGCCGACAGGCGUAGGCGAUGGAUAACAGGUUGAUAUUCCUGUACCACCAUUAUUCGUUUUAAGCGAUGGGGGGACGCAGUAGGAUAGGCGAAGCGUGCUGUUGGAGUGCACGUCCAAGCAGUGAGAUUGAGUGUUAGGCAAAUCCGGCACUCUUAAGAUUGAGCUGUGAUGGGGAGAGGAACUUGUUCCUCGAGUCGUUGAUUUCACACUGCCGAGAAAAGCCUCUAGCUAGAAUAACGGUGCCCGUACCGCAAACCGACACAGGUAGUCAAGAUGAGAAUUCUAAGGUGAGCGAGCGAACUCUCGUUAAGGAACUCGGCAAAAUGACCCCGUAACUUCGGGAGAAGGGGUGCUCUUUGAGGUUCACGCUUCGAAGAGCCGCAGUGAAUAGGCCCAAGCGACUGUUUAUCAAAAACACAGGUCUCUGCUAAACCGUAAGGUGACGUAUAGGGGCUGACGCCUGCCCGGUGCUGGAAGGUUAAGAGGAGUGGUUAGCGCAAGCGAAGCUACGAAUCGAAGCCCCAGUAAACGGCGGCCGUAACUAUAACGGUCCUAAGGUAGCGAAAUUCCUUGUCGGGUAAGUUCCGACCCGCACGAAAGGCGUAACGAUUUGGGCACUGUCUCAACGAGAGACUCGGUGAAAUCAUAGUACCGGUGAAGAUGCCGGUUACCCGCGACAGGACGGAAAGACCCCGUGGAGCUUUACUGUAGCCUGAUAUUGAAAUUCGGUACAGUUUGUACAGGAUAGGUAGGAGCCUUAGAAGCGUGAGCGCUAGCUUACGUGGAGGCAUUGGUGGGAUACUACCCUAAUUGUAUUGGAUUUCUAACCCGCAGCACUUAUCGUGCUGGGAGACAGUGUCAGGCGGGCAGUUUGACUGGGGCGGUCGCCUCCUAAAGAGUAACGGAGGCGCUCAAAGGUUCCCUCAGAAUGGUUGGAAAUCAUUCAUAGAGUGUAAAGGCAUAAGGGAGCUUGACUGCGAGACCUACAAGUCGAGCAGGGUCGAAAGACGGACUUAGUGAUCCGGUGGUUCCGCAUGGAAGGGCCAUCGCUCAACGGAUAAAAGCUACCCCGGGGAUAACAGGCUUAUCUCCCCCAAGAGUUCACAUCGACGGGGAGGUUUGGCACCUCGAUGUCGGCUCAUCGCAUCCUGGGGCUGUAGUCGGUCCCAAGGGUUGGGCUGUUCGCCCAUUAAAGCGGUACGCGAGCUGGGUUCAGAACGUCGUGAGACAGUUCGGUCCCUAUCCGUCGUGGGCGUAGGAAAUUUGAGAGGAGCUGUCCUUAGUACGAGAGGACCGGGAUGGACAUACCUCUGGUGUACCAGUUGUCGUGCCAACGGCAUAGCUGGGUAGCUAUGUAUGGACGGGAUAAGUGCUGAAAGCAUCUAAGCAUGAAGCCCCCCUCGAGAUGAGAUUUCCCAACUUCGGUUAUAAGAUCCCUCAAAGAUGAUGAGGUGAAU
rnacentral:rRNA from 1 species